UCUAUGAUAAUAUGGAAGUGUGCAUUCACCAAUUACUUAAAUAGCGACAAAAUUUGUUGAAUUGGAAAAAAUCGACAGCACAGCUUUUAAUAUCAAAUACGCUACUGAGUCUGAGUAUAAGCAACAAGUGUGAUCUUUUUAAAUAAUCAUCGUUAAAAAGCACAAAAUAUAACUGUGAUAAUGGACAAGAUGUCGCUGUCAAAUUCUGAAGCAACGUUUCAGUUACUCCAGCAAUCAUUAAAACACAUCUCUUUGUUGUAAAGGAGAAUUAUUGUAUUAUGCUCUUCGCCCUAUUAUUUAUUCAUUAAUAAGAAAAAUACUCAGAGAGCAUCGUUCACUCACGAUUGUCAAGACAUUAAGAUCUAUUGUUCUUCCACAAUCAACGCAAAUAGAAAUCUUGUAUCCACCUCAUAUUUUAAAAAUA